rnacentral:rRNA from 1 species
AUACGUAGGGGGCGAGCGUUGUCCGGAAUGAUUGGGCGUAAAGGGCGCGUAGGCGGCCCGGUAAGUCUGGAGUGAAGGUCCUGUUUUUAAGAUGGGAAUUGCUUUGGAUACUGUCGGGCUUGGGUGCAGGAGAGGUAAGUGGAAUUCCCAGUGUAGCGGUGAAAUGCGUAGAGAUUGGGAGGAACACCAGUGGCGAAGGCGACUUACUGGACUGUAACUGACGCUGAGGCGCGAAAGUGUGGGGAGCAAACAGGAUUAGAUACCCUGGUAGUCCACACUGUAAACGAUGAAUGCUAGGUGUAGGGGGUAUCGACCCCUUCUGUGCCGCAGUCAACACAAUAAGCAUUCCGCCUGGGGAGUACGGCCGCAAGGUUGAAACUCAAAGGAAUUGACGGG